UGAGGAGAACGGACGGUCGCCGCUUUUUUCAUUUAAUUAAUGUUAAUUUUGGAAAAGGGGAGGAAAGUCCGAGCACCAUUGGAUAGAGUGCCUGCUAACGGCAGGACGAGGCAACUCGAUGGAAAGUGCAACAGAAAACAUACCGCCUAUAAUAUUUAGGUAAGGUUGAAAUGGCGAGGUAAGAGCUCACCAGUCGAAUGGUAACAUUUGGCGUAAGGUAAACCCCACUCGGUGCAAGACCAAAUAGGAAAGCUAAAAUCGUAUCCACGUAGUUUUCGGGUUGGUUGCUUGAUCUUGCAAGCGAUUGCAAGACUAGAUAGAUGACCGUUAAUCUUUUUUUUAGAUACAGAACUCGGCUUAUAGUUCUCCUCUAAAU
rnacentral:RNase_P_RNA from 1 species